UGCCAGCCGCCGCGGUAAUACAAAGGUCCCAGGCGUUGUUCGGAAUCACUGGGCGUAAAGCGUGUGUAGGCUGCGCGGAAAGUCAAAUGUGAAAGCCCGGGGCUCAACCUCGGAACUGCAUUCGAUACUCCCGUGCUAGAGUAAUGGAGAGGUAAGUGGAAUUCCUGGUGUAGCAGUGAAAUGCGUGGAUAUCAGGAGGAACAUCAAUGGCGAAGGCAACUUACUGGACAUUUUUGACGCUGAGAUACGAAAGCGUGGGUAGCAAACAGGAUUAGAUA
rnacentral:rRNA from 1 species